GACGAACGCUGGCGGCGUGCCUAAUACAUGCAAGUCGAACGCUUCUUUCCUCCCGAUUGCUUGCCCUCAAUUGGAAAGAGGGGGGGCGGAAGGGGGAGUAACCCGUGGGUAACCUACCCAUCAGAGAGGGAUAACACUUGGAAACAGGUGAUAAUACCGCAUAACAGUUUAUGCCGCAUGGCAUAAGGCUAAUAGGCGCUUUCCGGUGUCGCUUACGGAUGGAUCCCCAGUGCAUUAGCUAGUUGCUGAGGUAACGGCCCACCAAGGCCACGAUCCAUAGCCGCCUUGGGAGGGGGAUCGGCCACACGGGAACUGGAACACGGCCCAGACUCCUCCGGGAGGCAGCAGUAGGGAAUCUUCGGCAAGGGACGAAAGUCUGACCGAGCAAGCCCGCGGGGGUGAAGAGGGUUUUCGGAUCGUAAAACUCGUUUGUUAGGGAAGAACAAGGUCGGUAUUAAAUGAACGUCCUCUGACGGUAGCUAACCAGAAAGCCACGGCUAACUACGUG
rnacentral:rRNA from 1 species